GACAGAGGGUGCAAACGUUGUUCGGAAUUACUGGGCGUAAAGCGCGUGUAGGCGGCUAAGUAAGUCGGGCGUGAAAUCCCACGGCUCAACCGUGGAAGUGCACUCGAAACUGCAUAGCUAGAGUCCUGGAGAGGAAGGUGGAAUGCUUGGUGUAGAGGUGAAAUUCGUAGAUAUCAAGCGGAACACCGGUGGCGAAGGCGGCCUUCUGGACAGUGACUGACGCUGAGACGGCGAAACGUGGGGAGCAAACAGG
rnacentral:rRNA from 1 species